rnacentral:rRNA from 1 species
GAUGAACGCUGGCGGCGUGCCUAAUACAUGCAAGUCGAGCGAAUGGAUUAAGAGCUUGCUCUUAUGAAGUUAGCGGCGGACGGGUGAGUAACACGUGGGUAACCUGCCCAUAAGACUGGGAUAACUCCGGGAAACCGGGGCUAAUACCGGAUAACAUUUUGAACCGCAGGGUUCGAAAUUGAAAGGCGGCUUCGGCUGUCAUUUAUGGAUGGACCCGCGUCGCAUUAGCAAGUUGGGGAGGUAACGGCUCACCAAGGCAACGAGUCGUAGCCGACCUGAGAGGGUGAUCGGCCACACUGGGACGGAGACACGGCCCAGACUCCUACGGGAGGAAGCAGUAGGGAAUCUUCCGCAAUGGACGAAAGUCUGACGGAGCAACGCCGCGUGAGUGAUGAAGGCUUUCGGGUCGUAAAACUCUGUUGUUAGGGAAGAACAAGUGCUAGUUGAAUAAGCUGGCACCUUGACGGUACCUAACCAGAAAGCCACGGCUAACUACGUGCCAGCCGCCGCUGUAA